GGCCAUCUCCAGAGUACAAUUCUCUUUUUCCAACAUCGUCUCCAUGGAAGAUAGUAACAAACUCCAAAGGAAAAUUCAGGUGACUAUGUUUAAAAAUGUGUAGGGAGCAUUUGUGAAGAUGAAUGGUCAACCAGGAAGGGUGAACUGAUCACCCUUUUCUCACCCCUGGGCUGCUCUUCCACCUUCCAUGAUGACAUUCUAAUAUUCUCCUCGCCCCUUCCUCACAUUCUGCAGGGUUACCAUAGAGACAGCAGGAAACAACUUUGCACCAUCACUAUUCCGUUGCCCACUUCUUACCAGACGUCAUUCAGUAAGCAGUGUGAGGCGUGCUCUCAAAUUAGAUAAUUGUGGUUUUUGUGUCAGCAUUCCUAUCAACAUGGCAGGUAGGAAAUUGUGCUAUCUAGAUGCUCUCCUGAUCUUCUUCAUUGUCCCAUGAAGCAGACAGAGAAGCCAGCUGAGAAGGUAAGGAUUUAUAGCCGGGGAAUGGAUGAAAUCUUUGGAGAAAAGCAGAUUCCCUUAAAAAGCCACCGGGCACCCUCCACCCAUUAGUCAAGGUCCCAGUACCCCCCAUGGGGUUUAGAUAAGCCAUGACUAAGGCCCAUUCAAUGGCCUUCAGUGGGACUUAGUCUUGAAUGUAUCUUUCACUAGAUGUGCCUCAGAUAAAGUCUGAGGCUCUUUCAAGAUCACAUAUUUAUUUUUGGUACUACAUUGCGCUUGUCCAAAGCAGCUUACGAACCAAGAGUUUCCAGGGAACAACAACACAAAACAUCAGCUUGGGAGGAAAAACAGUAGAUAAAUAAGUAAAUAUUCAUAAAAGAUCCACAUUGAUCCAGCACCAAAAGCUGUUUGGUUAGAUUCUGCUCUUGUUUGAGAGCCUGAGACAGUAAUUGUUCUUUAGAGGAAUGAUGAUUUUUGUUGCUGUUGUAACCCCUAUCUCAACAAAUUAUAGAAACAGAUGAGUUUAACAGGUUUAGUCAGGGCUUGUGAGUUCAGUAGAUGUCCAGAUUAACCCGGUCAAAUUUGGGGGAUGCCAACCAGGGGAAGAGCGUAUGGUAGGGCUUGUUGCCACUCAGACUUGUCAUGUCAGUUACUCUUCCCCAACGGACAUUUUUUCUAUCCUGGCACCUUCAGUUCUGGCCAGCUGCCUUUUGCAUCAUAACAUUCUCUGGCCAGUUUGAAUCUUGGAGGUCACCGUGGUGACAGCAGGAAACAGGCUCAUAUGACGCCAGUUCCAGGGGCUCCCAGGGUGGGAUGCUGCCCUGAAGUAACACUGUGCGCGGGUGCAUUUGAGGACCACAGGGUGGGGGGUGGGAAUCACCCUCAUGCUUACCAUGAAAAGAAGGGGAAUACCAGAGCAUCUUGACAGACAGAAUCUGUUAUGGCAACAGCAGCAGGGCAGGGCUAUUCAUCCAUGGAAGAGACAAGAAGAGGGAGAAGAUGGGGGGAAGAUUCUUCCCCAUGGGAUCAACCGGACACUAGGGCAUAAUCCAAUAGCAGGAGGACCUCCCACAAGCCACUGUUGUAUCUAUACUGUGUACCUCUUCCUCUUCCCUGGAAGGGUCAGGAUGGGGAGGCAGUCUCCACCAUUCCUGCUCCUGACACCUGGAAAAGGUUGAGAAAGGAACCACCAAAAUUAUCAAGGGUUCAGAGUAACUCCCUUAUAUGGAAAUAUUGGGAUCUUUUAGGUUAGAAGGAAGGAUGCUAUCUGUCAGCCCUGGUAGUUGUAUUAAUUCUAGAACCAUUAGCAAUCAAGUUAUGCAAUGCCCUCUCUGGUACAAGAGUGGUUGCAAACGGAAAUGAACAAAAUUCAGGCCUCUUUGCAGAGGAUAUAAUUUUAUGCACCUCUGACCCUAUCACAGCAGGCAAAAUACUAUGUACAGAAUUGGAACAGUUCUCUGGGGUCUCAGGACUGCAAGAUACUCUCUGCUGCUGCCCACCUUGGUGCUUGGCAAAUGUGCUGUUGUACUCCUGGUGCAACCUUUUAAAAGGCACUGUAAAACGAAAGCAUCUUGGCUUGCUCUGCCAUUGACUCUUAGCUGCAUUUUAAAUUUGUUAUUCCUUGCAAAUUCAAGCUUAAAUGGUUUGCCUUGCAUACUGUGCAUUAGCUUGUUUUGAUUGCAUUUGUGCUCAAGAUACCAGGAUACAACCUCAACUCUGUUAAUGAUGAUAAAAUCAGGGCGCUCAGGUGGCAGUGGUGUGGGGGUGAAACCCCCCACCUAAUAUAUACUUUCCACCAUUUUGGGCAUCCAUACUUUUUUCUCAUUUCUUGCAGCGCACAAACGGACAUGCCCACCCUGACCCCUUGGUCUGAGAAGGCCCAUCAUCUGAGAAGGAACAGUCAGGAAGAUGGUCUUGAACAACUACGACAAGCAGCAGAAAACCAAGGUGUUAUCCCCCUGAGUACUGCUUGGAUUAUAAAAUUGGCAUUCCCAAUUUUAUAAGCGAGAUAAGAAAUGUCAAGUUAUCCUGGAUGCCAAAAGAAUAUGAAAAUAACUUAUGACUCCGCGGCCCUAUUGAAAAUCACACCAGCAACUAAACUGAUGGCAGAACUGUUUGAUCAUUUAAGCACAGACUCUUGUUCUUUGCAGGAAGGAGAGCAAACUUUACCAACCCUUUAUCCCUGACAAAAUGUUUACUGUGGUGUUGCAUAGCUGUGCCGGAGAUUUUUUAAGAAGCAAGUUCUUUCCGUGUGCACCUAGAAAGAGACAUCCUUCCCUCUGUGUCAAAGCUGAGAGGUUUCCUGGAGGUGUUACUUCAGAGGGCUGGGUGUCUGGCAAUAUGGAGGGCAAAGGUGGCGGGUCAGGUAGGGUGGAACCCCUGCCACCAAUGCUGGGCAGGGGUCUCCAGUGGGUGGGGAGGGAAAGGUGAGAGAGGGGUGCCCACCCAUAUGGAUGCGAGUCAGAUGUUAAUGGCUUGGGGUAAUCCACAUGGGUGAGCAGGGAGAGGGGUGCCAGCCUCUGCCCAAAUUGGGCUUAUGGUUUCGGGAGGGAGGGGGGCUGGGGAGGGGGCAUCAGCCGAAAGAAGCUUUUGGAGUGUUUUUUAGGCCUUUCCUCCAGGGUUAUUUUGUUCCCUCGGAUGCCCCCUUUCUCCACUUUUGGGGCUUCCUUCUUGGGCUUCUUUGGG
rnacentral:lncRNA from 1 species